rnacentral:snoRNA from 1 species
GCAUGAGUUUGGAUUUAUGACAGGUCUGUCCCCUGAGCUGGUCAUAGUGUCCCAUGCUAGAGCAAUCCAUGGCCCUGAACCAUUGCCUGGCCUCCCUGUCAAUGGGCUUUGGCACUGAAGCAGGUUGUACAGUG